AACGAACGCUGGCGGCAUGCCUAACACAUGCAAGUCGAACGAAGUCUUCGGACUUAGUGGCGCACGGGUGCGUAACGCGUGGGAAUCUGCCCUUGGGUGCGGAAUAACUUCUCGAAAGGGAUGCUAAUACCGCAUAAUGUCGUAAGACCAAAGAUUUAUCGCCCAAGGAUGAGCCCGCGUAAGAUUAGCUAGUUGGUGGGGUAAAAGCCUACCAAGGCGACGAUCUUUAGCUGGUCUGAGAGGAUGAUCAGCCACACUGGGACUGAGACACGGCCCAGACUCCUACGGGAGGCAGCAGUGGGGAAUAUUGGACAAUGGGCGAAAGCCUGAUCCAGCAAUGCCGCGUGAGUGAUGAAGGCCCUAGGGUUGUAAAGCUCUUUACCAGGGAUGAUAAUGACAGUACCUGGAGAAUAAGCUCCGGCUAACUCCGUGCCAGCAGCCGCGGUAAU
rnacentral:rRNA from 1 species